UAGGCAAAGCUGUGGUCCAAGUUGCUCCCUCCAGAUAAGGGUGGAGCAGAUGCCAAGCUCACACGAUCUCCACUGACUCAGAAUGAGAGGAAAGUAGCAGAUAAAAGAGGGUCUUGGGCUGCCCUGCGAUUGCUGUAUUGGCUGAGUACAGUACAGUACAGUUGGCCCCUCGCCUGCACAUUACUGGCGAGAGAUUUCUAAUUGGACGUUCAAGGUUUGUGAACAUGAGAGAAUAAAAUGGUUUCAGACUGCAGAGCGGUAAGAGGUCUUGUGCUAUUCAUCAUGCUCCCUGUUUAAAGGGGAUUGGAACAAAAAGCAGCUGGUCUCGUCACCACAGCCUCCUGUGUCUGGACCAGCUUCCUGGCUGGCAGUAGUCACGCACGUGGGUGAUGUUUUAUUAUGCUUGGGAUAAUUUAACCCUCAAUUCAUAUGGGAUUACACAUUAAUUUAACAUCACAUCCAUUUACUGUAGCUUUCGGUGAUCGUUCAGCUAAAAUAAACAUUGGCUUCUGUAUGGGAAUUAAAACUGUAGAAAUUGCACCUUGUCUUCCUUUAAGCAGUUUAUUUCCAUUUAUGAAUUUUUAGAUGGUAACUUGCCUCCUGGAAGCAAGCCUGGAGCCAAACGUUCUCUGACACACACAUAUGGGAAUUAAAGCACAUGUGCAGGAGCGAGCGAAUGCCCAGUUGCCCUCCUGGCUGUUGCAGCGGUGCGAAGCUGCGAUCCUGCCAAUGGCCACAUGCCCACUACAGCAGCUCCCUCGAGGUGCACCGCAGACACGUUCCUGGGCCCACUCUCACGUGACCUCACCGCACCGACGCCCGAAGGAUCCUAGUCCACUAUCCAUGACAGGGCUGUCAAGGCCUUACGCACUCAGGGCCGAAGGUGGGGCAUCCAGGCGGCGUGACCUCCCUGCAAAGCUUCACUGCCGUCCAAUGAAAGAGGAGCCCAUGGUGGUCAGGCCCCCUUGGCUGCUGACUCUUCCCUGUGCCAGGGAAUACCGGGCUGUCUUUGAACAAGCAAGUCACUUUGGUGUCUUCAAACAGUCCUCUUACUGAGCGUUUUAUUUUAUAAUGUUUAUUUGUUAACAUGGAAGUGUUGAGCUGUUGAGCACACACAAUUCUGUGUGGAAUCCUGUGCUUUGAAGAGUCUUGUUUCCUUGUAACAUCCCUCACCGUACAGCGCCAUCCCAAUGAUAUU